CCUACGGGUGGCAGCAGUGAGGAAUAUUGGUCAAUGGGCGUAAGCCUGAACCAGCCAAGUCGCGUGAGGGAUGAAGGUUCUAUGGAUCGUAAACCUCUUUUCUCAGGGAAUAAAGUGUGGGACGUGUCCUAUUUUGUAUGUACCUUAUGACUAAGGAUCGGCUAACUCCGUGCCAGCAGCCGCGGUAAUACGGAGGAUCCGAGCGUUAUCCGGAUUUAUUGGGUUUAAAGGGUGCGUAGGCGGCCUUUUAAGUCAGCGGUGAAAGUCUGUGGCUCAACCAUAGAAUGGCAGUUGACACUGGGGGGCUUGAGUAUGUUUGAGGCGGGCGGAAUGCGUGGUGUAGCGGUGAAAUGCUUAGAUAUCACGCAGAACCCCGAUUGCGAAGGCAGCCUGCCAAGCCAUGACUGACGCUGAUGCACGAAAGCGUGGGGAGCAAACAGGAUUAGAUACCCCUGUAGUC
rnacentral:rRNA from 1 species